rnacentral:rRNA from 1 species
UACGAAGGGGGCGAGCGUUGUUCGGAAUUCCUGGGCGUAAAGGGCGCGUAGGCGGCGACCCAAGUCAGAUGUGAAAGUCCUGGGCUUAACCUGGGGACUGCAUUUGAUACUGGGUUGCUUGAAUUCGGGAGAGGAUAGCGGAAUUCCCAGUGUAGAGGUGAAAUUCGUAGAUAUUGGGAAGAACACCGGUGGCGAAGGCGGCUAUCUGGACCGACAUUGACGCUGAGGCGCGAAAGCAUGGGGAGCAAACAGG